rnacentral:rRNA from 1 species
GACGAACGCUGGCGGCGUGCUUAACACAUGCAAGUCGAACGGAAAGGCCCUGCUUUUGUGGGGUGCUCGAGUGGCGAACGGGUGAGUAACACGUGAGUAACCUGCCCUUGACUUUGGGAUAACUUCAGGAAACUGGGGCUAAUACCGGAUAGGAGCUCCUGCUGCAUGGGGGGGGUUGGAAAGUUUCGGCGGUUGGGGAUGGACUCGCGGCUUAUCAGCUGGUUGGUGGGGUAGUGGCUUACCAGGGCUUUGACGGGUAGCCGGCCUGAGAGGGUGACCGGCCACCUUGGGACUGCGAUACGGCCCAGACUCCUACGGGAGGCAGCAGUGGGGAAUAUUGCACAAUGGGCGGAAGCCUGAUGCAGCAACGCCGCGUGCGGGAUGACGGCCUUCGGGUUGUAAACCGCUUUCGCCUGUGACGAAGCGUGAGUGACGGUAAUGGGUAAAGAAGCACCGGCUAACUACGUG